GCGCAGCAGUCGAGAAACCUUCGCAAUGCGGGAAACCGCGACGAGGGGACUCCCAGUGCCUACGCUCAGCGUAGGCUGUUCCCGAGCCUAGAAAGCUCGGGGAGUAAGGGCUGGGUAAGACGGGUGCCAGCCGCCGCGGUAAUACCCGCAGCCCGAGUGGUGGCCACUAUUAUUGGGCCCAAAGCGUCCGUAGCCGGCCCGGUAAAUGCCUGGGUAAAUCGUGAGGCCUAACCUCACGAAUUCCGGGUAGACUGCCGGGCUAGGGAUCGGAGGAGGGAGAGGGUACUCCAGGGGUAGGGGUGAAAUCCUGUAAUCCCUGGAGGACCACCGGUGGCGAAGGCGCUCUCCUAGGACGGGUCCGACGGUGAGGGACGAAAGCCAGGGGAGCGAACCGGAUUAGAUACCCCUGUAGU
rnacentral:rRNA from 1 species